rnacentral:rRNA from 1 species
UACGUAGGGUGCGAGCGUUAAUCGGAAUUACUGGGCGUAAAGCGUGCGCAGGCGGUUUGCUAAGACCGAUGUGAAAUCCCCGGGCUUAACCUGGGAACUGCAUUGGUGACUGGCAGGCUAGAGUAUGGCAGAGGGGGGUAGAAUUCCACGUGUAGCAGUGAAAUGCGUAGAGAUGUGGAGGAAUACCGAUGGCGAAGGCAGCCCCCUGGGCCAAUACUGACGCUCACGCACGAAAGCGUGGGGAGCAAACAGG